CCAAUUUAUUCAUGCAAACCUGGAUGGCUACCUAAAGGCAAAGAGUGUUUAACACCCAUAUGCACAGGUGGUUGUAAGAAUGGUGGCAAAUGCAUCGCCCCUAACUCUUGUCGUUGUGCAGGUGGUUGGACAGGAUCUCUGUGUAAUAGCGAUAUCAAUGAAUGUGCGACAAGUCAGAAUCAAUGUGGAUACAAGCCAGGAUGUAGAAACACGCAGGGUAACUACACCUGCAAUUGUGCUUCGG